GACGAACGCUGGCGGCGUGCUUAACACAUGCAAGUCGAACGGAAAGGCCCUGCUUUUGUGGGGUGCUCGAGUGGCGAACGGGUGAGUAACACGUGAGUAACCUGCCCUUGACUUUGGGAUAACUUCAGGAAACUGGGGCUAAUACCGGAUAGGAGCUCCUGCUGCAUGGUGGGGGUUGGAAAGUUUCGGCGGUUGGGGAUGGACUCGCGGCUUAUCAGCUUGUUGGUGGGGUAGUGGCUUACCAAGGCUUUGACGGGUAGCCGGCCUGAGAGGGUGACCGGCCCCAUGGGGCUUGGGUAACGGCCCGAACGCCUACGGGGGGAAGCGGUGGGAAAUAUGCAACAAUGGCGGAAGCCUGAUGCAGCAACGCCGCGUGCGGGAUGACGGCCUUCGGGUUGUAAACCGCUUUCGCCUGUGACGAAGCGUGAGUGACGGUAAUGGGUAAAGAAGCACCGGCUAACUACGUG
rnacentral:rRNA from 1 species